rnacentral:rRNA from 1 species
GACGAACGCUGGCGGCGUGCCUAACACAUGCAAGUCGAACGGUCCGGCGCUCAACCGACCCUCAGUCUAACUGUAGGGGAAGUUGAGUGCCGGGUAGUGGCGGACGGGUGAGUAACGCGUGGGCAACCAACCCUGUACAGUGGGAUAACACCGGGAAACCGGUGCUAAUACCGCAUGACACCUAUAUGGUGCAUACCGUAUAGGUUAAAGGAUUUAACCGGUACAGGACGGGCCCGCGUCCCAUUAGCUAGUUGGUGAGGUAACGGCCCACCAAGGCGACGAUGGGUAGCCGACCUGAGAGGGUGACCGGCCACACUGGGACUGAGACACGGCCCAGACUCCUACGGGAGGCAGCAGUGGGGAAUAUUGCGCAAUGGGGGGAACCCUGACGCAGCGACGCCGCGUGAGCGACGAAGGCCUUCGGUCGUAAAGCUCUGUUCUUGGGACGAAGGAAAUGACGGUACCCAAGGAGAAAGCCCCGGCUAACUACGUG